CAAGGACCCAAGAAGUGCGGACUUUCCACUACACUCUAAAUACGAGCAGACGUCCACUACAUGAAUGGGUCACGCUUUGUUUGGCCCCCGAAUCACCUCUUCCCUCCUGAGCCACAGCCAAAAGCUACCCUUCUCUGCCCCUUCUGCCUGUUCCCCCCAUGGCCUUCCUGCCCACUGCUCCUGUGCAUCCCAUGUCGCAGAGCAGGCGUACAGUUGAGGACCCGACGAAGCCCCUGCAUCCUACUUCAACGGGGCGCAUGAUGGUUUUCCAGCCAGCCUCUCUGCGUUCUGCUGCCAAGUCUGCGUACUUUGCAUGUCGCCGCUCGUUGGCAGCCUCAAUGCCUUCCUCCCAUGAGACGGGUCACAAUGGGGUUGGAGUCAAUCUCAAGAAAAGAGCAAUGGAGCAAUAAGUGUCAAACAAAAGUAGUCUCCACCCGGAGCAAACAAAUGUCGUUUUAACAAAAGGAGUCUCCAUUCGGAUCUCAGGGAGUGGCACGGCGACCCACUCUUGACUGGGAAUUCCCUUGGGAGUGACGUCACCGUGGCGGAUUCCCUCUGGAUUGCGAGGGAGCCAGCCAAUUCCUGAAAAUCCUGUUCGGCAGCUGGCGACCAGACAAAGGGAACCUUGGUGGACGUGAGUGCUGAAAGGGGGGCGGCGAUGGAGCUGUAACCCCUAAUGAAGUGGCAAUAGAAGUUGGCAAAUCCCAGAAAUCUUUGGAGGUGCUUCAGGGAGUCUGGCCAGGGUCAACUUAACACGGCCGACACCUUGCUAGGGUCCAUCUGAUUCCUCCCCUCCCGAAUGAUGUAGCCCAAGAGGGAAGUAGAAGACACAUGAAACUCACACAUCUCUGGUUUGACAAACAAAGCAUUCUGGAGCAGGCGCUGGAGGACUGUUGGAACAUGGUGAACAAGCUCGCUCUUGGAACAAGAGAAGAUCAAAAUAUCGUCCAGGUAAACAAAAACAAAUUUAUUAAGCAUGUCCCUUAGAACAUCAUCAAUCAAAGCUUGAAACACUGCUGGGGCAUUGGUUUAACCGAAAAGCAUUACUAAAUACUCAUAGUGUCCCGUUGGUGUGUUAAAUGCUGUCCUCCACUCGUCCCCCUCAUGGAUACGGACCGGGUGGUAGGCAUUCCUAAGGUCUAGCUUGGUGAAGAUUGAUGCCCCUUCCAGUAGCUCAAAGGCAGAAGACAUUAAAGGCAAGGGAUAACGAUUCCUCACAGUAACUUCGUUCAGACCCCUGUAGUCAAUGCAGGGGCGCAGAGAUCCAUCCUUCUUUUUAACAACACCCGCUCCUGACGCACUGGUGUUCUCUAAAGCAGCGCUCUGCUGAGCGACAAAUCAGUGUGCCGCUCAGCAGAGCACUGGACCCUCAGUACACCCUGCCGCUCCUGGCACCUCGCCAUCCUCAGAUCAAUGCGGCAAGUCAAAUCAAUGAUGGCGUGCAGAAUCGUGGAGGUGAUCAUGAGACACCAACUCAUCCUUUACAUUGGAGUUAAGGCCCCGGAGAGUGCAGGUUCAUUCCAGUUGCUCUCUCUGGCCUUAAUACAAAAGUCUAUAGCGUAGUCAAUUUUACUGUGAAUAUCCAAGAUUACUGCAGCCAAUGAUCACAAAUGGAAAUGUCUUCUCUGAGGAAGUCUCUAAAACUAAGGGUGUCUCCAUUUGGAGUGCAGAAAUGUCUUUCAACAAAAGGGGAGGGAGCCGGCCAAUUCAGAGGCGGAAGAGUGACGCAGAAAUAACGAUGAAGGUUCUCCUCAAAACAACGAAAGACCUUCAGAACCAGGGCAGGUGAGGCUUGACGUGGAUCGACCUCAAGGGUAUGUCUGGAUCAAACAGGAAAUUCACAACUUGACCAAGGCGAGAACGUGCACCCUCAACGACAUGAUGAGACGAUCUGGCAGAGAGAAGUGUGUGGCCGCUGCUUAAAUAUGCUGCUAGAUCAUCAUCGUUAGCUGGAAAGCGCAGGUGAAGCUGAUCUCCCUGAUUGCUGCGCUGUAGCAAGCAUGACAUAUCUGCCCUUUCCAGCCAGUGUCUAGAUUCCUCCAAUGCCAGUUCGCAGACCCCUGUGUAGCAUUCCGGAAUAGGAAUCAGGGGUUCAAGAGGGAGAGGUGUUGAAGAGGACUGUGCAAAAGGAGAAGGAGAAGCCAGGUUGUGCUGGAGGUCCUGAAGGAGAAGAUACAGUAUAUGGUUCACUUGACCACUAAGGGUGUACUCACACUAGGGCCAAUUGCUCCAUGCAGCCGCCCCCUCCCCCCUUCCCUUUUGGCCUGCACUUACAUUAGCCAUAAAGGAAAGUGAGGUAGAGCCUGGUUGCCUCAGACACAUGCAUCCGUGGUUGUUGCUUAUACGCGUUUAAAACUGCACAAUCAAAAGCAAAUCUGAUGGCUGCAAUGGCUGCUUUGUGAGCACAGUGUUCUGCGCUUCAGCCUAUCACUUCCACCCGCAUAGUAGCAGGGAAGUGCUCCACGAACAGGGAGCAGUUGCAGUCACACUAGCAAUAGAAUCUGGACUUUAGGGGCCAAACAGGCAUAGGCAUAAUACAAUGGCAACGACAAAAGUCUCAAUUACCUCUGUAAGGGUCCUGUUGUGUUGACCCACUAACACUCUCUGUGAAGCCAGAGCUUUAUGAAGCAAGGCAAAGGAAAAAGUGAAAGACCCCAGAAAAGAUUAUGGAUGUUGCGAAAGAAGACAUGGCAAAUUUUAGGAUAAUAGUAGAAAAUACGUGGUUAAGAUGAAGGCAGAUGGUCUGUUGCUGUGGCCCCUAAAGGCAGCAACUGAAAGAAGAAAACCUCAGUGAAAAACAAUAAACUCCAAAUAGAGUAUAAGGAAUAAUAAAGUUAAAUUUCAAGACAAUGGGAAAUACAAAUUUGAUUAGAAACUGUAUACAAUUACAUUUUGUUUUAAAAAGAGUGUCAUUAUUUAUGUCAAUAUUAUUAACCUUGGAUGAUUCUGCAGCUAAUUUUUUUAAUUUUUAUUUCCUUAUGAAAGAUGUUUGUCCGUCUGUGCCUUUCUCCACUCUCCCCCUCCACCCACACGAACCAGGCAGUGUGUCUACUUACUUACACAGCAAUUGAAGGUGACAGGGACAGAGAGAGAGAGAGGGAGGGAAAGGGGGAACAGAAAGGACACAUCACAGUAAUGCCUGGGGCGACACAUAAGUAAGAGAAGAACAAGGGAUAAAGGGGACAAAGAAAGAAAUAAAGACAUAAAAGAUUUGCACAAGUACUUAUAUAAGAAAAUCCAUAUUUAUUAUAUAUAGUAUUAUAGCAGGGAAUGUUGCACAUUAAAAGUUAUAAAAUGGGUUUAAAAGAAAAAGUGUAUCACUAUUGGUUAAAAAAGGCAGUUUUCCAAUUUUCAAAAAGAAAUCCAUAUUUCUAUGCUCUGUGUUAGAAGGUAAGUACUCUCACUCAUUAUACAUGAAGAAAGGACAGGAUUCAGUCACUGUAAGGAAUUGUGAAAGACUCCAGUCUGUUUUUAUGAUUUUAAACAACUUGAUGAAUAUUAGUCAUGGCAGUGUAGCCAUAGUGACUGCUACCACUGUCUACCCCUUCCCCUUUCCCCCCUCGGGGCUGAAAAAGCAAAGGAUGGAAUGAGAGAGAGAGAGAGAGAGAGAGAGAGAGGGGAAGGGAGUUAGAGAGAGCGAGACAGGGGUGUGUGUGACAUGAAUAAACAAACAAGAUGCACAAAAAAUGAAUGACCUGGAGCUACACAAAUUACUGUGAAGCUAGCAAGCUCACAAAGAGAGAGAGUUUUUUAACAUCUCUAUACAAACACAAUAACACAUAACGUAACAAACACAGUUAUCAGGAUCAAAGGGACUUUGUAAGAUUAAAUUCUAUCAUUCUCUUUUUUUAAGAGAAUGAGGUUAAGUCGAAAAGGUUAGCUAGUUAUUUAGUUAACUGACUCUGAAAUAUCAAUAAAACACCAGCAGGUUUUAAAAGACUCAAGGUCACAGAUACUUUUUUUGUUUUAAAGUUUUCUAGGAACAAUGACUUUAAAGUCAAGUCAAGUUAAUUUUAUUUUUGUAGCUCAAAUUCCUGAAUGUUUUCCACUUGACAGGGGCAAAAAAAUGGAGGUGUAUAUACUGCUUGAAGAAUUUUGAAGUAAAAAAACAUGCACAAACACUUCAUGUAUGUGAUGUUUUUUUAAAGAAAAUAUGAAAUGUUUUUUUCAUUAAAUAUGAAAAUUCUAAAAAUCUAAUAUAGUUUUACUUAUUUUCAUUAAAACAAAGAAGAAGAAAAACUUGGACUUGUUAUUUAUUGGUAACAUAAGGCGCACUGGAUUAUAAGGAGCAAUAUCAAUGAACGGAUCUAUUUUCAUAAAUAAGGGCACCGGGUUAUAAGGCGCAUUAAGCGAUACAAAACAGUCAAUCAAGCAUGUCCGGAUCCUUCUUGUCAAUAGAUGGUUUUCCAAUAAUCGUUUUUACUCAUGGUGCAUCACGCCGUCGGCCAUGUUGUGUGGCAAAAGACGUGAAUAGGUAGACGUAAACAAUCGAUAAUGACAACAAAAGACAAGAAUAUUAAAUCGCCAGAGGAAGAUCAGACUUCACUUGUUGUAUAGAGAUUCACUAGACACAAUUACAAGGGCAAGAUACUUGGACUUGGAAAAUAAUCAAUGGAAAAGACACAUACAAAAUCAACAAAGCUGAGUGAAAGAGGGCAGACAUUAAAAGUUGGCCAGACAAUGUAUAUCAUACGGUAUUUAUUAACACCCAAAUAAUACAGCAUGUUAAUGUAAAAAUCACAGUGGGAUGUACAGAUGUAUGUCUUUUGUGAACAUCAUUAGAAUAACAGUUUACAUGAAAAAUAUUUUUUUACUAUUGAUUAGAUUUUUUUUUCCAAAAUCACAAAAAAGAUGUAAUUUUUACUUUCUUUAAUAAUAUAAAAGUAGUUUGAUUCUACAUGUACAUAGAAAAUACUGAUAAUGAUAUGGACUGUGGUCAGCUGAGGAUUUACGUUUGCAUUGUGAACAUUUGUCAUGUAUGCAAAGUGCAUUUUGAUAGUUUUUAAUUUUAUUGACAUUGAACAUAUGAAUUAAAUAAAAGUAUAAUUACCCGAAAUAAAGUGUUCAGAACAUACUUUGCGAUGCUUUUUGCUUGGAUCUGGGUUGAAAUUAGCACGAUUAAUACGUGAAAGCCGUAGCAUCCUUCUUUCUGUCGAAAUAUCCUCCGUCAGCUUCCCUUGGUGACAGAUCGCUUUAUGUCAAAAAACUUCAUCUUGCGAUCUCCAUUCCCAGAUUGGUUGGUAGAACCCCACACAACACAGGUAUUUACCAUUAUCGGUGUUCUUUUGUGUAUUUAAUAUACACAAAAGAACACGCUCUGUUGCCACACAAGAUGGCGUGACGUAAUCGGAAAACUAUCUAUUUUUGUUCUGGAUGGUCAUUGUAUUGUUGUUUAGACGCUGUUCUGUGCGGAAGUGUGGAUAUUGUUUUGCAGAGAGAGUGUGUGUUUUGCCUGUAUUGAUAAAAAAGGACAAAUAAAAAGAGGUCUUGACCAUGGAAAAAUUGACA